UGAAAGUUGUAAUAUAAAUAUAAAAUUAAAUUAAUAAAUUUAAUUAUGGUUUAAUAAUUAAUUUAAAAAUUUUUAUAUAUAUAAAUAUUAAUAGUAUAAAAUUUAAUAUGAAAUUAAUGUAGUAUAUAAAUUUAAUAAUAUUAAAAAAAUUUAAUUUUAGAAAUUUUUAUAAUUUAGAUAAAUAAUUGUGCCAGCAAUCGUGGUUAAACAAUUUAAAUAAAUUAAUUAUAUUAAAUUAAAAUUAAAUGAAAUUUUAUAAUUAUAAUUAAAAUUAUUAGGUGAAAUUAAUUAAUUUUAAUUUUAUUAUAUAAAGAAUAAAAUUGAAUUUUUGAAAGGUUUUUUAAAAACUAGGAUUAGAUACCCUAUUAUAUAAUUUUAAAUUUAAAAUUUUAAUAUUAAAUGAUUAAUCAUUAAAUUUAAAUAAUUUGGCGGUAUUUAAAUUUUAUUAGAGGAAUUUGAUAAUUAAUUGAUAAUACUCGAUAAGAAAAACUUUAAUUUAAUUUUUAUAUUGUUGUUUAAAGAGUAUUUUUGAAAAAAUUAUUUAAGAUUUUUUUUAAAAAAAAAUUAAUUCAGAUCAAAAUGAAGUGUAUGUUAAAGGAUUAUUGAAUUACAAUAAAUUAUAUUUAAAUGAAUUUAUAAUUUAAAUAUUAUAAUGAAGGUGGAUUUAAAAGUAAAAUAAAAUAAUUACUUUAAUUGAUUAAAAUUUUAAAAUAUGUACAAAUUGCCCGUCGUUCUCUUUGAAAAAGGAGGUAAGUCGUAACAAAGUAAAAGUACUGGAAAGUGUUUUUAGAUU
rnacentral:ncRNA from 1 species